UACGAAGGGGGCUAGCGUUGUUCGGAAUUACUGGGUGUAAAGCGCGCGCAGGCGGCUAUCCAAGUCAGUGGUGAAAGCCCGGAGCUCAACUCCGGAACUGCCAUUGAAACUGUUUAGCUUGAGGAUGAGAGAGGUGAGUGGAAUUCCCAGUGUAGAGGUGAAAUUCGUAGAUAUUGGGAAGAACACCGGUGGCGAAGGCGGCUCACUGGCUCAUUACUGACGCUCAGGCGCGAUAGCGUGGGGAGCAAACAGG
rnacentral:rRNA from 1 species